GUCAGUGUCAAUCAUCAUGUGCGUUAGCUUUAAACUGUGCAAAGAUUAAAAAUGAUAAGGCGGCACUAUCAGUCUGGUGCAGAGAAGAGAAAGAAGAGGAUAGAAGAUGAGAAAAGAAAUGAUCAAGAAAAGGGGGCACUUUUGAAGUAGUUUCCAAAGAAUGAAUUUACAGCAGGUGAAACCAGCAGCUGCCUCCUCCUCACAUGACAGCCUUGGCCCUGUCUCAGGCUACAUUGGCCUUGCUUCCAGCUUAUCUGUUGCCUCCACCACAUCCUCCAGUGUCCUUAGAAUUUUAUUUUAAAGAUUAAUUUAC